UCUCCUUCAUGGGAGAUGAUUGAAAGAUGGUUUCGGCUAUCGCUUACAGAUGGGCCCGCGGUGCAUUAGCUAGUUGGUGAGGUAACGGCUCACCAAGGCAACGAUGCAUAGCCGACCUGAGAGGGUGAUCGGCCACACUGGGACUGAGACACGGCCCAGACUCCUACGGGAGGCAGCAGUAGGGAAUCUUCCGCAAUGGACGAAAGUCUGACGGAGCAACGCCGCGUGAGUGAUGAAGGCUUUCGGGUCGUAAAACUCUGUUGUUAGGGAAGAACAAGUACGAGAGUAACUGCUCGUACCUUGACGGUACCUAACCAG
rnacentral:rRNA from 1 species